GGCUCAGGAUGAACGCUAGCUACAGGCUUAACACAUGCAAGGUCGAGGGGCAGCAUGAACAAAGUCUUGCUUGUUGAUGGCGACCGGCGCACGGGUGCGUAACGCGUAUGCAACCUACCGUUUAACAGGGGGGAUUAACACUGAGAAAUUGGUACUAAUACCCCAUAACACUUUGAAAGGCAUCUUUCGGAGUUGAAAGUUCCGGCGGUUAGAGAUGGGCAUGCGUUGUAUUAGCUAGAUGGUGAGGUAACGGCUCACCAUGGCGACGAUACAUAGGGGGACUGAGAGGUUAACCCCCCACAUUGGUACUGAGACACGGACCAAACUCCUACGGGAGGCAGCAGUGAGGAAUAUUGGUCAAUGGUCGGAAGACUGAACCAGCCAAGUAGCGUGAAGGAUGAAGGUUCUAUGGAUUGUAAACUUCUUUUAUACGGGAAUUAAAACCACCUACGUGUAGGUGCUUGUAUGUACCGUAUGAAUAAGCAUCGGCUAACUCCGUG
rnacentral:rRNA from 1 species